rnacentral:rRNA from 1 species
UGAAGGAGUAGCAAUACUUUUUCAGGUUUAGUGGCGGACGGGUGAGUAACACGUAGGUAACCUACCCUUAGGCGGGGGACAACUCAGGGAAACUUGAGCUAAUACCGCAUAAAUCCACGGGCUGGGAUGCUUGUGGGGAAAGUGGCAACACACCUAAGGAUGGGCCUGCGGCCUAUCAGGUAGUUGGUGGGGUAAGAGCCCACCAAGCCGAAGACGGGUAGCCGGGCUGAGAGGUUGAACGGCCACACUGGAACUGAGACACGGUCCAGACUCCUACGGGAGGCAGCAGUGGGGAAUCUUGCGCAAUGGGGGAAACCCUGACGCAGCGACGCCGCGUGGAGGAUGAAGGUCUUCGGGUUGUAAACUCCUUUUCUUGGGGAAAAUGAUGAUGGUACUCAAGGAAUAAGCCACGGCUAACUCUGUGCCAGCAGCCGCGGUAAGACAGAGGUGGCGAGCGUUGUUCGGAAUUACUGGGCUUAAAGGGCGAGUAGGCGGUAGGGCAAGUCUGGGGUGGAAUCCUAUGGCUUAACCAUAGAACUGCCUUAGAAACUGCUUUACUUGAGUCAGUGAGGGGAGGGCGGAAUUCCU